rnacentral:rRNA from 1 species
GUGAGGAAUAUUGGGCAAUGGGCGAAAGCCUGACCCAGCCACGCCGCGUGAGUGAUGAAGGCCUUCGGGUUGUAAAGCUCUGUGGGGAGGGAAGAAAAAGCGGGAGAGUAACUGCUCUCGUGUUGACGGUACCUCCUUAGCAAGCACCGGCUAACUCUGUGCCAGCAGCCGCGGUAAUACAGAGGGUGCAAACGUUGCUCGGAAUUACUGGGCGUAAAGCGCGUGUAGGCUGACAUGCAAGUCGGGUGUGCAAUCCCAGGGCUCAACCUUGGAACUGCACUCGAAACUGCACGUCUUGAGUACUGGAGAGGGAAGCGGAAUUCCGGGUGUAGAGGUGAAAUUCGUAGAUAUCCGGAGGAACACCAGUGGCGAAGGCGGCUUCCUGGACAGUAACUGACGCUGAGACGCGAAAGCGUGGGGAGCAAACAGGAUUAGAAACCCUUGUAGUCC